UGUGGAGACAAAGUUAAAUCGACCUUUAAGAAAUUAUGGUUUGUAUAAUGAGAUUCCAAAUCAAGAGGGUCGUCAGUCAACUAAAAUUGAUGGGUUUACGCUUGAUGAUAUUACUCAUGCCCAAGCACACAGAUAUGUUUUAUUUAAUUCUGCUACCAUAACGCCAUACCGCGAUGAGCAUAUAAAAGAAAUCAAGAAGCAAAAUCCUCGUCUAUCGAGACAUGAUGUGGAUAAGAUUCACAAUGAAAAAUUUCACAUAUGGUUUAGAAAACAUGUUGAGAAGAUACAUAUGGUAGG